GAUGAAGAACGUAGCGAAAUGCGAUAAGUAAUGUGAAUUGCAGAAUUCAGUGAAUCAUCGAAUCUUUGAACGCACAUCGCGCCCCUUGGUAUUCCGAGGGGCAUGCCUGUUCGAGCGUCAUUAUAACCCCUCAAGCUCAGCUUGGUGUUGGGGCCUGCUGCACUGGCAGCCCUUAAAAUCAGUGGCGGCGCCAUCUGGCUCUAAGCGUAGUAAUUCUUCUCGCUAUGGAGUCCUGGUGGAUGCUUGCCAUCAACCCCCAAUUUUUCUAUGGUUGACCUCGGAUCAGGUAGGGAUACCCGCUGAACUUAAGCAUAUCAAUAAGCGGAGGA
rnacentral:misc_RNA from 1 species